rnacentral:rRNA from 1 species
UACGAAGGGUGCAAACGUUGCUCGGAAUUAUUGGGCGUAAAGCGCACGUAGGCGGCUUCGCAAGUCGGAUGUGAAAUCCCUCGGCUCAACCGAGGACGUGCAUCCGAAACUGCGGAGCUUGAGUACUGAAGAGGAUCGCGGAAUUCCCGGUGUAGAGGUGAAAUUCGUAGAUAUCGGGGGGAACACCAGUGGCGAAGGCGGCGAUCUGGGCAGAUACUGACGCUGAGGUGCGAAAGCGUGGGGAGCAAACAGG